rnacentral:rRNA from 1 species
CCUACGGGAGGCAGCAGUGAGGAAUAUUGGUCAAUGGACGAGAGUCUGAACCAGCCAAGUAGCGUGAAGGAUGACGGCCCUACGGGUUGUCAACUUCUUUUGUCAGGGAGCAAUUGGGUCCACGCGUGGGCUUAGCGAGAGUACCUGAAGAAAAAGCAUCGGCUAACUCCGUGCCAGCAGCCGCGGUAAUACGGAGGAUGCGAGCGUUAUCCGGAUUUAUUGGGUGUAAGGGGUGCGUAGGCGGAAUAUCAAGUCAGCGGUAAAAAUUCGGGGCUCACCCCCGUCGUGCCGUUGAAACUGAUGUUCUUGAGUGGACGAGAAGUAUGCGGAAUGCGUGGUGUAGCGGUGAAAUGCAUAGAUAUCACGCAGAACUCCGAUUGCGAAGGCAGCAUACCGGCGCCCAACUGACGCUGAAGCACGAAAGCGUGGGUAUCGAACAGGAUUAGAUACACGGGUAGUC